UCUAGGUUCAGAGAAAACGAGCGCCCUUUUCUCACUGAGCCUCGUGGCAUUUCUUGUCUAGCCCGUAUCUCAGACGUGUGCUCUAUUACCUUGUUUCCACCCUUCUUUUUUUUUAAACAAGGAUACCAAUGCGGGCAACUACAAAAGCAAAAAUGAAAAGGGAAAAGAGAAGAAGAGAUUUCUUUUUCUUAAACUGAGGUUUUUCUGAAGUAUUUCUUCGGAGUGGGCUUUUAUUUCUUCAAGGACAAGAGGCCAAACUGACAGAAAGUGAAGAAGCACUCUCGUCCUCGCCUUGUGUAAUGACUGUCGAUGCUUUGGGAAAAUGCAUUUGCUGCGGGGUUGAAAGGCUGUGCUGUGCCAGUGCCGCCUUGAGAGCCUCCUGAAUCCUUCAGAGAGAAGCGCGGGUCAGAAUUCUCCUUCCUUCUAGAAGGAGGACCGGAGAAACGCUUGGAAAGUUCAUCAGAGAGGAGAGGGAAAGCGGACGUGUUCCGGUGUCGCCCUCGAGUCAAGUACCUUCACCUGUUUCCAUUUUGUUUGUUUGUGCGCUUGUUUGGAUCAGCAGCCCAGGCUGUGCCCGGGGCUGCCGCCCUGGCCAGUGGGAACAGGAAGCCAGCGUUAGAAGCGGAAGGAAGGGUCACACCUGCUCCUGUUUGCUGUUAUUGUCGUUGACACUUGCAGCUGACUGUCACUUUGGUUUCACGUGGACACAGAACAAAAAAUGUUCAGUGUGGUCAAAGCUCAGUCUAGGCUGUCAUUUACAAUUCCUUGUUAUUUUAAAAAUGGCCGUUUCUGGAUUUUAUUCUUUUCUCUUUAUCUCGAUCAUUUUUCUCCGACGUGUUUCUCCAGCAUUCAGUCACCCUUGGGCAACUCGCAGUUGACUAUACCCGGAAAACCUCUGCUGUAAGAUUUCAGCUGUGCCUUUGCUGUAGCUGACAGACGUCAGGGUUGGGGGAGGUCAGGGAGGGGCAUGACCUCCAGUUUAUCCUGGAGCUGGAUCCAGGCAAGUGGGGGCGGCUACCCCAUCUCCAUCCUGGAAAUCUACUCCCUGCCCACUGUCCCCACAUAGAUGCUGUUAGAGGACGUGGCCCUGAGAUAGCAAGGUGUUGUUAGACCACCUGGACUAUGUGCCUGGCUGUGCUCAGUUGUUCAGUCGUGUCCGACUCUUUGUGACCCUGUGGACUGUAGCCCACCAGGCUUCUCUGUCCAUGGGAUCCUCCAGGCCAGAAUACUGGAGUGGGUAGCCAUGCCCUCCUCCAGGGAAUCUUCCCAACCCAGAGAUCGAACUCGCUUCUCCUGCGUCUCUUGCAUCGCAGGUGGAUUCUUUUCAACUGAGUCAACUGGAAAGUCCACUAUGUGCCUGGACUGUAUCGACUUAAGAUUCUGGCAGACGCAUGCAGAGAUAUACUGUCUUCCAGAUCCCAGGACAGACUUCAUGUCUCUCAAUCUGAAAAGAAGUCUUUAUGAUAAGGUUCUCUCCACACUUCCAGUCUUCUAGGAUCUCAUAGAACUGGAGAACUGAAGAACCUCUGUGGAUCUUGGAUAUCACCUUUGCCAAGCCUCUUAUAUCCCAGUCAUGUCUGACUCUUUGGAACGUCGUGGACUCUAGCCUGCCAGGCUCCUCUGUCCAUGGAAUUCUCCAGGCAAGAGCACUGGAGUGGGUUGCCAGGCCCUCCUCCAGGGGAUCUUCCCGACCCAGGGAGGGAGCCCGCAUCUCUCACAUCUCCAGGUCGGCGGGAGUGUUCUCCACCACUGCCACCACCUGGGAAGCCCAGGGGCCGCUGCCCGCUCGGCCUGACCCUGAGGCUGCAGCCCUUGGUUAGCUCACAGGGCACCACCACCGGCUGAGGCAUCCUUCAGUUCCUAUUUCGGGGGAGGCGCCGCCUGUAGCGUGGCUCAGAAGCUCGCGUUUGGAGGGCCAGAAUGCAGCUGCCGUGACAGCCUUGCUCAUCGACACGGCAGGAGACGCUCUCUCACACCACCUGUGACGCGACCAAGAGAAAGAAGCUAACCCGCCCCCUGCUGAUAUUUGCCAUUCUAGGAGACACUUACAAAAUCACACGGCUUUUACUGUGUUUUCUCCCCCCCAUCUCUGAUCCAUAAAACAAUUGGCAUCUAGGCCGCAACAAGAUGGUUAGUUUGAGGCUUUAGUCUGCCACCUUCUUGGUCAGCUGGCUCUCCAAAUAAAGUCAUAUUUCUUGCGUCAAC